rnacentral:lncRNA from 12 species
AUCUGAACCAUCCACAAAACACCAUGGUUACAGCAGAUCUUCUCCGAAGUUAAUAUUUUAGCUCUGUAGUUCAAGGUGGCCAUCUAUGGCAUCCUCUGGGCUACUGGUGGAGAGGAAGCCAUUGUACCAAGGUGGAUGACCUCAGCAAAUACCUGUAUCUCAGCAUCAGUUCUGCACUAGACUUCUGCAUCAAUGUGCCCUUGAAGCACAAAGCCUUCAUGUUCCAGCUCUGUUUUCCAAGUGAGAAGCUUUGGUCUUACACAACCUUAAUA